UUCGGAUGGAUAGAAGAACCCCUGAUGCCGUCGAGCCAAGAAAAGUUUCUAAGUUUAGCUAAUGUUGCCCGUACCGUAAACCGACACAGGUGGGUGGGAUGAGUAUUCUAAGGCGCGUGGAAGAACUCUCUUUAAGGAACUCUGCAAAAUAGCACCGUAUCUUCGGUAUAAGGUGUGGUUAGCUUUGUAUUAGGAUUUACUCUGAAAGCAAGGAAACUUACAACAAAGAGUCCCUCCCGACUGUUUACCAAAAACACAGCACUCUGCUAACUCGUAAGAGGAUGUAUAGGGUGUGACGCCUGCCCGGUGCUCGAAGGUUAAUUGAUGGGGUUAGCAUUAGCGAAGCUCUUGAUCGAAGCCCGAGUAAACGGCGGCCGUAACUAUAACGGUCCUAAGGUAGCGAAAUUCCUUGUCGGUUAAAUACCGACCUGCAUGAAUGGCGUAACGAGAUGGGAGCUGUCUCAAAGAGGGAUCCAGUGAAAUUGUAGUGGAGGUGAAAAUUCCUCCUACCCGCGGCAAGACGGAAAGACCCCGUGGACCUUUACUACAGCUUGACACUGCUACUUGGAUAAGAAUGUGCAGGAUAGGUGGGAGGCUUUGAGUAUAUGACGCCAGUUGUAUAUGAGCCAUUGUUGAGAUACCACUCUUUCUUAUUUGGGUAGCUAACCAGCUUGAGUUAUCCUCAAGUGGGACAAUGUCUGGUGGGUAGUUUGACUGGGGCGGUCGCCUCCCAAAUAAUAACGGAGGCUUACAAAGGUUGGCUCAGAACGGUUGGAAAUCGUUCGUAGAGUAUAAAGGUAUAAGCCAGCUUAACUGCAAGACAUACAAGUCAAGCAGAGACGAAAGUCGGUCUUAGUGAUCCGGUGGUUCUGUGUGGAAGGGCCAUCGCUCAAAGGAUAAAAGGUACCCCGGGGAUAACAGGCUGAUCUCCCCCAAGAGCUCACAUCGACGGGGAGGUUUGGCACCUCGAUGUCGGCUCAUCGCAUCCUGGGGCUGGAGCAGGUCCCAAGGGUAUGGCUGUUCGCCAUUUAAAGCGGUACGCGAGCUGGGUUCAGAACGUCGUGAGACAGUUCGGUCCCUAUCUGCCGUGGGCGUAAGAAGAUUGAAGAGAUUUGACCCUAGUACGAGAGGACCGGGUUGAACAAACCACUGGUGUAGCUGUUGUUCUGCCAAGAGCAUCGCAGCGUAGCUAAGUUUGGAAAGGAUAAACGCUGAAAGCAUCUAAGCGUGAAGCCAACUCUAAGAUGAAUCUUCUCUAAGCUCUCUAGAAGACUACUAGUUUGAUAGGCUGGGUGUGUAAUGGAUGAAAGUCCUUUAGCUGACCAGUACUAAUAGAGCGUUUGGCUUAUCUUUAAUAAAGCAU
rnacentral:rRNA from 1 species